AGUCAAUGUAGCCAAGUAGUUGAACAUGUUAUUAUUACAUCAUCGUGAGUGACAAACUGACACGUUUUCAUUUUCGUCAAAAACAACUGUCGAUGCGAGACGACCGUUAUACCUGGCGAGGUAUCUACGCAUGAAUUUAUCCAUCUGUGCUGACUGAGGUAUGAGGAUGUUGUGUGUUUCCUGCCAGCUGGACUCAGCAUGUGGACCAUGAUGCUGCGAGAGGACGGGGACAGAACUACACAGGGGUCUCUCUCCAAACCCUGAGUCACCUGACAUCUGACAAUAUCCCUCUAGUGGUGUGGGGGCUGUGCUUUGGCAAAGACCUGAGCUCUAGGACCAAGCCCCAGGACUACC